rnacentral:rRNA from 1 species
UACGAAGGGGGCUAGCGUUGCUCGGAAUCACUGGGCGUAAAGCGCACGUAGGCGGAUUGCUAAGUCAGGGGUGAAAUCCUGGAGCUCAACCCCAGAACUGCCUUUGAUACUGGCGAUCUCGAGUCCGGGAGAGGUGAGUGGAACUGCGAGUGUAGAGGUGAAAUUCGUAGAUAUUCGCAAGAACACCAGUGGCGAAGGCGGCUCACUGGCCCGGUACUGACGCUGAGGUGCGAAAGCGUGGGGAGCAAACAGG